GACGAACGCUGGCGGCGUGCUUAACACAUGCAAGUCGAACGGUGAAGCCCUUCGGGUGGAUCAGUGGCGAACGGGUGAGUAACACGUGAGCAAUCUGCCCUUGACUCUGGGAUAACUUCGGGAAACCGGAGCUAAUACCGGAUAUGACACGCGGCCGCAUGGUCUGUGUGUGGAAAGAUUUAUUGGUCAGGGAUGAGCUCGCGGCCUAUCAGCUUGUUGGUGGGGAAUGGCCUACCAAGGCGACGACGGGUAGCCGGCCUGAGAGGGCGACCGGCCACACUGGGACUGAGACACGGCCCAGACUCCUACGGGAGGCAGCAGUGGGGAAUAUUGCGCAAUGGGCGAAAGCCUGACGCAGCGACGCCGCGUGAGGGAUGAAGGCCC
rnacentral:rRNA from 1 species